GAUGAACGCUGGCGGCGUGCUUAACACAUGCAAGUCGAACGAGAAGUCGAGACGGAUGCCUUCUGGCGGAAGACUUUACUUGGAGUGGCGACCGGGUGAGUAACGCCUUGGUAACCUGCCUCCUACAGGGGGAUAAGAGUUGGACACGACUGUUAAUACUGCAUCAGACUACAGCAUCGCAUGGUGCGGCGGUAAAAACUCCGGUGGCAUGAGAUGGACCCGCUUUCGAUUAGCCGGUUGGCGGGGGAACGGCCAACCAAAGCGACGAUCGAUAGCCGGGCAGAGAGAAUGGCCGGACACGUAGGGACUGAGACACAGCACGAACUCCUACGGGAGGCAGGAGUGGGGGAUAGUGAAGAGUGGAGGGAAGCCGGAUGAAGCGACGGCGCGUGAGUGAGGAAGUAUUGCGGUAAGUAAAGCUCUAUCAGCAGGGAAGGAAAUGACCGUACCUGAGUAAGAAGCCACGGCUUACUACGUG
rnacentral:rRNA from 1 species